UACGGAGGGUGCAAGCGUUAUCCGGAUUUACUGGGUUUAAAGGGUGUGUAGGCGGACUUUUAAGUCAGGGGUGAAAUCCCGAGGCUCAACCUCGGAACUGCCUUUGAUACUAUUGGUCUUGAAUGUUGUUGAGGUGGGCGGAACGGGUCAUGUAGCGGUGAAAUGCACAGAUAUGACCCGGAACACCGAUUGCGAAGGCAGCCCGCUAAGCAACUAUUGACGCUGAGGCACGAAAGCGUGGGGAUCAAACAGG
rnacentral:rRNA from 1 species